rnacentral:rRNA from 1 species
GACGAACGCUGGCGGCGUGCCUAAUACAUGCAAGUAGGACGCAGUUGCGAACGGGUGAGUAACGCGUAGGUAACUACCUAUUAGAGGGGGAUAACUAUUGGAAACGAUAGCUAAUACCGCAUAAUAGUAGAUGGACCUGCGUUGUAUUAGCUAGUCGGUAGGGUAAUGGCCUACCUAGGCAACGAUACAUAGCCGACUUGAGAGGGUGAGCGGCUACACUGGGACGGAGACACGGCGCAGACUCGUACGGGAGGCAGCAGGAGGGAAUCGUCGGCAAUGGGGGGAACCCUGACCGAGCAACGGGGCGGGAGUGAAGAAGGUUUUCGGAUCGUAAAGCGCUGUUGUUAAGGAAGCGGUACUUAACCAGAAAGGGACGGCUAAGUACGUGCCAGCAGCCGCGGUAAUUC